GCUUUCUGUAUUUUAACUCUUAAGCUCUACAAAACAACCUGCCCUUUGGACUCUACAGGGUCCAGCCUGAUUAGUACUUGGAUGGUAGACUGCUUGGGAAUACCAGGUGCUGUAAGCU
rnacentral:rRNA from 1 species